ACAUCAUUGAGAGGUUCUACAUUCUAAAGCAUAACCCUUGAAUCCAUAAUUCAAAUUCAAGGUGGAGUUAAAAGUUAAGUCUUGAGAGUUCUUUCAAACAUUUUGAGAAUGUCCCUUUGAGUCUUUUUUAGGAGACUUCUACAACUUCUAGUAACUUGUUUCAAGACUCGAGCAAGUGAAUAAGAGGAUGAGGAAAAUGUAUUCAUGAGUCUACUUUGUCAUCACGAGAUCUUUC
rnacentral:lncRNA from 1 species